UAUAAAAAGAUCAUUGGCUGUAAAAAUGCUUCUGAGGGAUUCGAGCACUAUUUAAAGAGUGACUGUGGUUGGUUGACAUUGUUAAUGUUCCAAAUUGUGGACCAAACCAAUGGAUCCCUGAGGCCUGAUGUAUGGCCAAAACUUGACACUUCUUAAAAAGGUCAGCAGAAAUGAAGAAGGUGAUUCUGCUUUGUGUGAUGUACAAGAAUAGCUACCAUUUCAGAAAAAGAGUUCUUGGCUGGCAAAAUUUAGAGCCUGAGGAAAGUCAUACACAAAGUACAGAAGAGAUGACAGAACACUACAGCUUUCGCAUUUGAAGAGUAUACUUUCACCAUUAAAAUAUUAGUAAGUGAAUAAAGUGUA